GGAGGAAUACCCAAGUCUGGCUGAAGGGAUCGGUCUUGAAAACCGACAGGCGGGUUACAACCGCGCGGGGGUUCGAAUCCCUCUUCCUCCGCCA
rnacentral:tRNA from 1 species